GCGCUGCGGGUCCGCUGU
rnacentral:miRNA from 1 species